ACGCUGGCGGCAGGCUUAACACAUGCAAGUCGAACGGUAACAGGGAUUAGCUUGCUAAUUUGCUGACGAGUGGCGGACGGGUGAGUAAUGCUUGGGAAUCUGGCUUAUGGAGGGGGAUAACUACGGGAAACUGUAGCUAAUACCGCGUAAUAUCGGAAGAUUAAAGGGUGGGACUUUCGAGCCACCUGCCAUAAGAUGAGCCCAAGUAGGAUUAGGUAGUUGGUUAGGUAAAGGCUGACCAAGCCGACGAUCUCUAGCUGGUCUGAGAGGAUGACCAGCCACACUGGAACUGAGACACGGUCCAGACUCCUACGGGAGGCAGCAGUGGGGAAUAUUGCACAAUGGGGGGAACCCUGAUGCAGCCAUGCCGCGUGAAUGAAGAAGGCCUUCGGGUUGUAAAGUUCUUUCGGUGACGAGGAAGGUUGAUAGGUUAAUAGCCUAUCAAAUUGACGUUAAUCACAGAAGAAGCACCGGCUAACUCCGUGCCAGCAGCCGCGGUAAUACGGGGGGUGCGAGCGUUAAUCGGAAUAACUGGGCGUAAAGGGCACGCAGGCGGUGACUUAAGUGAGAUGUGAAAGCCCCGAGCUUAACUUGGGAAUUGCAUUUCAUACUGGGUCGCUAGAGUACUUUAGGGAGGGGUAGAAUUCCACGUGUAGCGGUGUAAUGCGUAGAGAUGUGGAGGAAUACCGAAGGCGAAGGCAGCCCCUUGGGAAUGUACUGACGCUCAUGUGCGAAAGCGUGGGGAGCAAACAGGAUUAGAUACCCUGGUAGUCCACGCUGUAAACGAUGUCGAUUUGGGGAUUGGGCUUUGAGCUUGGUGCCCGUAGCUAACGUGAUAAAUCGACCGCCUGGGGAGUACGGCCGCAAGGUUAAAACUCAAAUGAAUUGACGGGGGCCCGCACAAGCGGUGGAGC
rnacentral:rRNA from 1 species